GCACCUAUCGGGGCGUCGGGGACAUUCGAUAAAAUUGGAACGAUACAGAGAAGAUUAGCAUGACCCGUGCGCAAGGAUAACAUGCACAAAUCUAGAAAUGAUCCAAAUUUUA
rfam:Brassica oleracea var. oleracea cultivar TO1000 chromosome C2, whole genome shotgun sequence